AGCGAACGUUAGCGGCAGGCCUAACACAUGCAAGUCGCGCGAGAAUGGGGCUUCGGCUCCUAGUAAAGCGGCGGACAGGUGAGUAACACGUGGAUAAUCUGCCCUUCGGCGGGGGACGAACAGUCCGAAAGGAUUGCUAAUACCGCGUAAGUCGGCGAGGUCUUCGGAUCUUGUCGGGAAAGAUGGCCUCUUCAUGAAAGCUAUCACCGAAGGAUGAGUCCGCGUCCCAUCAGCUAGUUGGCGGUGUAAGAGACCACCAAGGCUAAGACGGGUAGCUGGUCUGAGAGGAUGAUCAGCCACACUGGAACUGAGACACGGUCCAGACUCCUACGGGAGGCAGCAGUGGGAAUAUUGGGCAAUGGGCGCAAGCCUGACCCAGCCAUGCCGCGUGAGUGAUGAAGGCC
rnacentral:rRNA from 1 species